rnacentral:rRNA from 1 species
CGCAAGGGGUGACUGCGUACCUUUUGUAUAAUGGGUCAGCGACUUACAUUCAGUGGCAAGCUUAACCGAGUAGGGGAGGCGUAGGGAAACCGAGUCCGAACAGGGCGUUCAAGUCGCUGGGUGUAGACCCGAAACCAGGUGAUCUAUCCAUGGCCAGGAUGAAGGUGCGGUAACACGCACUGGAGGUCCGAACCGACUAGUGUUGCAAAACUAGCGGAUGAGCUGUGGAUAGGGGUGAAAGGCUAAACAAACCUGGAGAUAGCUGGUUCUCUCCGAAAACUAUUUAGGUAGUGCCUCAAGUAUUACCAUCGGGGGUAGAGCACUGUUAUGGCUAGGGGGUCAUGGCGACUUACCAAACCAUUGCAAACUCCGAAUACCGAUGAGUACAGCUUGGGAGACAGUGCACCGGGUGCUAACGUCCGGACACAAGAGGGAAACAACCCAGACCGCCAGCUAAGGUCCCCAAAAUUGGCUAAGUGGGAAACGAAGUGGGAAGGCUAAAACAGUCAGGAUGUUGGCUUAGAAGCAGCCAUCAUUUAAAGAAAGCGUAAUAGCUCACUGAUCGAGUCGUCCUGCGCGGAAGAUGUAACGGGGCUAAGCCAGUUACCGAAGCUGCGGAUUUGCAAUUUAUUGCAAGUGGUAGGAGAGCGUUCUGUACGCCUGUGAAGGUGGAUCGUGAGGUCUGCUGGAGGUAUCAGAAGUGCGAAUGCUGACAUGAGUAGCGUUAAAGAGGGUGAAAAGCCCUCUCGCCGAAAGCGCAAGGUUUCCUACGCAACGUUCAUCGGCGUAGGGUGAGUCGGCCCCUAAGGCGAGGCAGAGAUGCGUAGCUGAUGGGAAACAGGUCAAUAUUCCUGUACCGAUNNNNNNNNNNNNNNNNNNNNNNNNNNNUUUAAAGAAAGCGUAAUAGCUCACUGAUCGAGUCGUCCUGCGCGGAAGAUGUAACGGGGCUAAGCCAGUUACCGAAGCUGCGGAUUUGCAAUUUAUUGCAAGUGGUAGGAGAGCGUUCUGUACGCCUGUGAAGGUGGAUCGUGAGGUCUGCUGGAGGUAUCAGAAGUGCGAAUGCUGACAUGAGUAGCGUUAAAGAGGGUGAAAAGCCCUCUCGCCGAAAGCGCAAGGUUUCCUACGCAACGUUCAUCGGCGUAGGGUGAGUCGGCCCCUAAGGCGAGGCAGAGAUGCGUAGCUGAUGGGAAACAGGUCAAUAUUCCUGUACCGAUCUAUAGUGCGAUGUGGGGACGGAGAAGGUUAACUCAGCCGGGUGUUGGAUGUCCCGGUUCAAGCCUGUAGUCAUGCCUGGUAGGCAAAUCCGCCGGGCUUAGAUGAGGGGUGAUAACGAGUCUGCUUGCAGACGAAGUGAGUGAUACCCUGCUUCCAGGAAAAGCCACUAAGCUUCAGCUAUAGACGACCGUACCGCAAACCGACACUGGUGCGCGAGAUGAGUAUUCUAAGGCGCUUGAGAGAACUCUGGAGAAGGAACUCGGCAAAUUGACACCGUAACUUCGGAAGAAGGUGUGCCUUUAGUAGGUGAAGUCCCUCGCGGAUGGAGCCCAAUGAGGUUGCAAAGAAUCGGUGGCUGCGACUGUUUAAUAAAAACACAGCACUCUGCAAAGACGAAAGUCGACGUAUAGGGUGUGACGCCUGCCCGGUGCUGGAAGAUUAAAUGAUGGGGUGCAAGCUCUUGAUUGAAGUCCCAGUAAACGGCGGCCGUAACUAUAACGGUCCUAAGGUAGCGAAAUUCCUUGUCGGGUAAGUUCCGACCUGCACGAAUGGCGUAACGAUGGCCACACUGUCUCCUCCAGAGACUCAGCGAAGUUGAAAUGUUUGUGAUGAUGCAAUCUCCCCGCGGAAAGACGGAAAGACCCCAUGAACCUUUACUGUAGCUUUACAUUGGACUUUGAACAGAUCUGUGUAGGAUAGGUGGGAGGCUUUGAAGUAGGGACGCUAGUUCUUAUGGAGCCAACGUUGAAAUACCACCCUGGUGUGUUUGAGGUUCUAACCUUGGUCCGUGAUCCGGAUUGGGGACAGUGUAUGGUGGGCAGUUUGACUGGGGCGGUCUCCUCCCAAAGUGUAACGGAGGAGUUCGAAGGUACGCUAGCCACGGUCGGAAAUCGUGGUGAUAGUGCAUUGGCAUAAGCGUGCUUGACUGCGAGACUGACAAGUCGAGCAGGUACGAAAGUAGGACAAAGUGAUCCGGUGGUUCUGUAUGGAAGGGCCAUCGCUCAACGGAUAAAAGGUACUCUGGGGAUAACAGGCUGAUACCGCCCAAGAGUUCAUAUCGACGGCGGUGUUUGGCACCUCGAUGUCG